ensembl:snoRNA Snord123 small nucleolar RNA, C/D box 123
GGUGAAAAUGAUGAAUGCCGAGGCGCUGAUUCUUGUGACUUGAAAGACGCCAUCCAUUUCCUGAUUUGCC